rnacentral:rRNA from 1 species
GAGUUUGAUCAUGGCUCAGGAUGAACGCUAGCGACAGGCUUAACACAUGCAAGUCGAGGGGCAGCAUGUUGGUUGCUUGCAACCAACGAUGGCGACCGGCGCACGGGUGAGUAACGCGUAUGUAACCUGCCUUAUACAGGGGGAUAGCCCAUGGAAACGUGGAUUAACACCGCAUAAUAUUACAAUCAGGCAUCUGGUAGUAAUUAAAUAUUAAUAGGUAUAAGAUGGGCAUGCGUCCUAUUAGAUAGUUGGAGAGGUAACGGCUCCCCAAGUCAACGAUAGGUAGGGGUUCUGAGAGGAAGGUCCCCCACACUGGUACUGAGACACGGACCAGACUCCUACGGGAGGCAGCAGUGAGGAAUAUUGGUCAAUGGACGCAAGUCUGAACCAGCCAAGUCGCGUGAAGGAAGACUGCCCUAUGGGUUGUAAACUUCUUUUAUUUGUGAAGAAUAAGCUUUACGUGUAGAGCGAUGCCUGUAGCAAAUGAAUAAGCAUCGGCUAACUCCGUGCCAGCAGCCGCGGUAAUACGGAGGAUGCGAGCGUUAUCCGGAUUUAUUGGGUUUAAAGGGUGCGUAGGUGGUUUAUUAAGUUAGUGGUUAAAAAUCCGGGCUCAACUCGGUAGUNCNAUUAAAACUGGUAAACUAGAGUACAUACGAGGUAGGCGGAAUAAGUUAAGUAGCGGUGAAAUGCUUAGAUAUAACUUAGAACCCCGAUAGCGAAGGCAGCUUACCAGACUGUAACUGACACUGAUGCACGAGAGCGUGGGUAGCGAACAGGAUUAGAUACCCUGGUAGUCCACGCCGUAAACGAUGCUCACUAGCUUUAUGCGAUAUACCGUAUGAGGCUAAGCGAAAGUAAUAAGUGAGCCACCUGGGGAGUACGUCGGCAACGAUGAAACUCAAAGGAAUUGACGGGGGCCCGCACAAGCGGAGGAACAUGUGGUUUAAUUCGAUGAUACGCGAGGAACCUUACCUGGAUUUAAAUGGGAGAUGACUGUUUUGGAAACGAAACUUCUCUUCGGAGCAUUUUUCAAGGUGCUGCAUGGUUGUCGUCAGCUCGUGCCGUGAGGUGUCGGGUUAAGUCCCUUAACGAGCGCAACCCCUAUCGUUAGUUGCCAUCAGAUAAAGCUGGGCACUCUAGCGAGACUGCCACCGUAAGGUGAGAGGAGGGCGGGGAUGACGUCAAAUCAGCACGGCCCUUACAUCCAGGGCUACACACGUGUUACAAUGGGAGACACAGAGGGUCGCUACCUAGUGACAGGAUGCUAAUCUCUAAAAUCUCUCGUAGUUCGGAUUGGAGUCUGCAACUCGACUCCAUGAAGUUGGAUUCGCUAGUAAUCGCGCAUCAGCCAUGGCGCGGUGAAUACGUUCCCGGGCCUUGUACACACCGCCCGUCAAGCCAUGGAAGCUGGGGGUGCCUAAAGUCCGUAACCGCAAGGAUCGGCCUAGGGCAAAACUAGUAACUGGGGCUAAGUCGUAACAAGGUAACCG